rnacentral:rRNA from 1 species
AAUGGGUCAGCGACUUAUAUUCUGUAGCAAGGUUAACCGAAUAGGGGAGCCGAAGGGAAACCGAGUCUUAACUGGGCGUUAAGUUGCAGGGUAUAGACCCGAAACCCGGUGAUCUAGCCAUGGGCAGGUUGAAGGUUGGGUAACACUAACUGGAGGACCGAACCGACUAAUGUUGAAAAAUUAGCGGAUGACUUGUGGCUGGGGGUGAAAGGCCAAUCAAACCGGGAGAUAGCUGGUUCUCCCCGAAAGCUAUUUAGGUAGCGCCUCGUGAAUUCAUCUCCGGGGGUAGAGCACUGUUUCGGCAAGGGGGUCAUCCCGACUUACCAACCCGAUGCAAACUGCGAAUACCGGAGAAUGUUAUCACGGGAGACACACGGCGGGUGCUAACGUCCGUCGUGAAGAGGGAAACAACCCAGACCGCCAGCUAAGGUCCCAAAGUCAUGGUUAAGUGGGAAACGAUGUGGGAAGGCCCAGACAGCCAGGAUGUUGGCUUAGAAGCAGCCAUCAUUUAAAGAAAGCGUAAUAGCUCACUGGUCGAGUCGGCCUGCGCGGAAGAUGUAACGGGGCUAAACCAUGCACCGAAGCUGCGGCAGCGACACUAUGUGUUGUUGGGUAGGGGAGCGUUCUGUAAGCCUGUGAAGGUGUACUGUGAGGUAUGCUGGAGGUAUCAGAAGUGCGAAUGCUGACAUAAGUAACGAUAAAGCGGGUGAAAAGCCCGCUCGCCGGAAGACCAAGGGUUCCUGUCCAACGUUAAUCGGGGCAGGGUGAGUCGACCCCUAAG